CAGACGUGUUCUUCGAUUGAUACAGGCCCCGGAUCGAUUGAGGAAAGAACGGAAAACGAGCUUCACCGAAAUAUUUUCAAGAGAUUCAGACGAAAACAUAUAACUGCGGAAUCGAUCUGCAAAAAAAAAAA